rnacentral:rRNA from 1 species
AUACGGAGGGGGCUAGCGUUGUUCGGAAUUACUGGGCGUAAAGCGCACGUAGGCGGAUUAAAAAGUUAGAGGCGAAAUCCCAGGGCUUAACCCUGGAACUGCCUUUAAAACUAGUAGUCUAGAGUUCGAGAGAGGUGAGUGGAAUUCCAAGUGUAGAGGUGAAAUUCGUAGAUAUUUGGAGGAACACCAGUGGCGAAGGAGGCUCACUGGCUCGAUACUGACGCUGAGGUGCGAAAGAGUGGGGAGCAAACAGGAUUAGAAACCCUAGUAGUCC